UCGCGGCCGUUAACCCACCGUUAAGCUUUACGGGCGUUUACUAUGCGCAUCCAGUGAUCUGGAUACUUACCGAGUGGUUUGGAGCCACUUCGUUUGACGCCUCCCUGUUAAACUCCUGAGAGCCGCUUUUCAGCGGCUCUUUUUUU
rnacentral:sRNA from 1 species